rnacentral:hammerhead_ribozyme from 1 species
AUCCAACUGACGAGUUCCAGUUAGGACGAGACGCGCGUCCUGGAU